CAAGUCGAGCGAACAGAUAAGGAGCUUGCUCCUUUGACGUUAGCGGCGGACGGGUGAGUAACACGUGGGUAACCUACCUAUAAGACUGGGACAACUUCGGGAAACCGGAGCUAAUACCGGAUAAUAUGUUGAACCGCAUGGUUCAAUAGUGAAAGAUGGUUUUGCUAUCACUUAUAGAUGGACCCGCGCCGUAUUAGCUAGUUGGUGAGGUAACGGCUCACCAAGGCAACGAUACGUAGCCGACCUGAGAGGGUGAUCGGCCACACUGGAACUGAGACACGGUCCAGACUCCUACGGGAGGCAGCAGUAGGGAAUCUUCCGCAAUGGGCGAAAGCCUGACGGAGCAACGCCGCGUGAGUGAUGAAGGUCUUAGGAUCGUAAAACUCUGUUAUUAGGGAAGAACAAACGUGUAAGUAACUGUGCACGUCUUGACGGUACCUAAUCAGAAAGCCACGGCUAACUACGUGCCAGCAG
rnacentral:rRNA from 1 species